UACCAGCACCCCGAGUGGUCGGGACGAUUAUUGGGCCUAAAGCAUCCGUAGCCGGUCAUGCAAGUCUUCCGUUAAAUCCAGCCGCUCAACGGUUGGGCUGCGGAGGAUACUACGUGGCUAGGAGGCGGGAGAGGCAAGCGGUACUCAGUGGGAAGGGGUAAAAUCCUUUGAUCCAUUGAAGACCACCAGUGGCGAAGGCGGCUUGCCAGAACGCGCUCGACGGUGAGGGAUGAAAGCUGGGGGAGCAAACCGG
rnacentral:rRNA from 1 species